CUUGGCCACCCUGAACCUGCUGAAAGCAGCUACUGGGAGGCCUGCGAACGCGAUUCCCACCACGCUGCUGCUUUUUAAGGCCAGAUUCUCCAGGGACUUCAUGGAGGGCCCGGUUUUUAAUUAGCACGCGUCUCCUUGUCAAUACACCUCAUUAACUGGUAAAACACACGGCCCGAAACACGUGAAAACAACUCACAAAACUGCAAAUACUUUCCCUCGACCGCCAGAUGAACUAACCCCUGACCUGUGUGCGGGGGGGCAAGACGUUUGUGUGAAACCCACCGUGUCCCCGGCACAGCCAGCCUCCAGCCCCACCCGGGCCAGGCCCUCGGGCUACAGAUGAGAACACCAGGCGAGGGGAGAGCGGCACCCAAGUCAGAAUAAAGCUGGAAUCCGGGAGUCACUUCCACCAGAAGACUGGUCGUCAGUCACGUUAAAUUUGUGUAAAAGCGAAUCAUGGAGUCACAAGCACCAUACCCACAGCGGAUCUUCUCCUAUGAAGGGCACAGAGCUUUACAUGCAAGGAUCCGGUAAUAUUUAGUUUGGAGUUCAGAGGCCACACGUUGUCCAUUUGUUCUGCCCAUUUUCUUGAAAUAACACCAGCUGCUCCCUGGAGCCCUGGUCACUGGCCGGAUGCCCAGUCCGGAGCCUGGCGAGGAAGUCUGCUGAGCCCCUCCACUUCCUCACUCCUGCCCUUCCUCGGCCCCCCAAAUGUGAGAGAGAGGCUCUUUCUAAGGCCCGGUCUUCAACGCCAAGAACACCAUCACGUGCAAACAGAACAGUCAAUGACCACAAAGAGCUGUGGGAUGUCCUCUCUCUAGGCUCAGCUACUUGUCACCAGCAGCGACGGCAAUGUGGUUCCAUCAAAAAAAUAGGCUGAAUAUCUACGCCGUGCCCAACCGUGUCUGUGGAACAUCCACAGACUGCAAGCAUUACGUUAGCUCGGCUCCCCCAAAAAGCAUUAAAUAUAAAAUAUCAAAUAAAUUCUCUUCUAAAACA